rnacentral:tRNA from 1 species
GCCCCACUGGUGGAAUUGGUAGACACGACGCACUCAAAAUGCGUUACCGAAAGGUGUGCUGGUUCGAGUCCGGCGUGGGGCA